rnacentral:rRNA from 1 species
GAUGAACGCUAGCUACAGGCUUAACACAUGCAAGUCGAGGGGUAACGAGAGGAAAGCUUGCUUUCCUUGUCGACGACCGGCGCACGGGUGAGUAACGCGUAUCCAACCUGCCCCCAACUAAGGAAUAACCUUGCGAAAGUAAGACUAAUACCUUAUAAUUUCCUCAGAUGUCAUCUGACGAGGAAUAAAGAUUUAUCGGUUGUGGAUGGGGAUGCGUCUGAUUAGCUUGUUGGCGGGGUAACGGCCCACCAAGGCAACGAUCAGUAGGGGUUCUGGGAAGAAGGUCCCCCACAUUGGAACUGCGACACGGUCCAAACUCCUACGGGAGGCAGCAGUGAGGAAUAUUGGUCAAUGGGCGGAAGCCUGAACCAGCCAAGUAGCGUGCAGGAUGACGGCCCUAUGGGUUGUAAACUGCUUUUAUACAGGAAUAAAGUUAGCCACGUGUGGUUAUUUGUAGGUACUGUAUGAAUAAGGACCGGCUAAUUCCGUGCCAGCCGCCGCUGUAA